rnacentral:rRNA from 1 species
UGGGGAAUUUUGGACAAUGGGCGAAAGCCUGAUCCAGCAAUGCCGCGUGUGUGAAGAAGGCCUUCGGGUUGUAAAGCACUUUUGUCCGGAAAGAAAUCCUUGGCUCUAAUACAGUCGGGGGAUGACGGUACCGGAAGAAUAAGCACCGGCUAACUACGUGCCAGCAGCCGCGGUAAUACGUAGGGUGCAAGCGUUAAUCGGAAUUACUGGGCGUAAAGCGUGCGCAGGCGGUUUGCUAAGACCGAUGUGAAAUCCCCGGGCUCAACCUGGGAACUGCAUUGGUGACUGGCAGGCUAGAGUAUGGCAGGAGGGGGGUAGAAUUCCACGUGUAGCAGUGAAAUGCGUAGAGAUGUGGAGGAAUACCGAUGGCGAAGGCAGCCCCCUGGGCCAAUACUGACGCUCAUGCACGAAAGCGUGGGGGAGCAAACAGGAUUAGAUACCCUGGUAGUCCACGCCCUAAACGAUGUCAACUAGUUGUUGGGGAUUCAUUUCCUUAGUAACGUAGCUAACGCGUGAAGUUGACCGCCUGGGGAGUACGGUCGCAAGAUU